AGCGAACGCUGGCGGCAGGCCUAAAACAUGCAAGUCGAACGCCCUAGCAAUAGGGAGUGGCAGACGGGUGAGUAACACGUGGGAACGUGCCUUUUGGUUCGGAACAACACAGGGAAACUUGUGCUAAUACCGGAUAAGCCCUUACGGGGAAAGAUUUAUCGCCAAAAGAUCGGCCCGCGUCUGAUUAGCUAGUUGGUGGGGUAACGGCCCACCAAGGCUACGAUCAGUAGCUGGUCUGAGAGGAUGAUCAGCCACACUGGGACUGAGACACGGCCCAGACUCCUACGGGAGGCAGCAGUUAGGAAUCUUGGACAAUGGGCGCAAGCCUGAUCCAGCCAUGCCGCGUGAGUGAUGAAGGCCUUAGGGUUGUAAAGCUCUUUCAGCGGGGAAGAUAAUGACGGUACCCGCAGAAGAAGCCCCGGCUAACUUCGUGCCAGCAGCCGCGGUAACAC
rnacentral:rRNA from 1 species